UGGGAAUCUCUAGGCGCGCCGCAUUCAAGGAAUCGGACCGUGCAGUUGUUGCCGUGGCUCCGGCUUAGAUAGCUGCGCGUGCUCUAUGUACCAAAAUUUUGUUGACAGGCACAAGCUUGUGUAGAAACCAUCAAGAUUAAGCAUCUCAUUAAUUUGUCGAUGGGUGCAACCGUGCAAGGUUGUGGAAACAAUGGAAGCAUCCCAUUAGAUUGUCGCCAGGUACGAUGUUGAGCAUACUUAUCAGGAACCAUCAACGUCAAAGCAUCUACCGAGGAUUCAAUUUAAGCCUAGAGAUAGCAGGACACAUUGUGAUGUUUUGUCCCCUACUGCUUGUAUCAUUUGUUCAGUAUGCAUAUGCGUCCACAGAUUCCUGUCUGCUACAGGACCACUGCUUAUCCUUUAUUCUCUUCUCUAGGCUCAGCUUCCACGAAAAUAUUUUGUGGUGGUCAUGUAAAAUCAUAAGCUCGUCUUUUCCAUAUGGCUGACAGCUAUGUCAUGUUUAUCAGUAAAGAGGAGUCUAUUUCAGUCAUACAAUACUGUGGAGCCAAGACUUGAAUCAAGGACUUCCAUAGUUCCACGGCCGUGCGGACCCCGCGUCGAGCUUGCCAUGAGGGGCAUGUGUUUCAGUUGAAGGGAUCCUAGUGUUACCUGGUAAAGUUAGCUGCGUUUUGGUGCACUGUUCGACUCUUCUCAUUCGCUGAAUUGCUGCCUGCCUUUUGGUUCACUAUAGCUCUCUCCCCUGAGUCCAUCUGUUUGGUUUCUCCACUGUGCAAGGCCUGUUUUUUCUCCUGCUGUUACUGGGCCGCCUUAGGUGUGCCAGGAGAGAUGUCGGGGUUGCUUGGCACGGUUGUUGAUGCAGCAAUUGGAUGGCUGGUGCAAAGCAUCCUUGACAGCUUCUUUACUGGACGUAUGGAAGCCUGGACUCGUAAAAUCGGGCUUGCUGAAGAUGUGGAGAAGCUCAAAUUUCAGAUGAGGGACGUGCAGAUGGUUCUUGCUGCUGCCGAGGGAAGGAGGAUUGACAAUAUGCCUCUGGCCCUGUCACUGGAUGAUCUCAGAGGGCUGCUUUAUGACUCAGAGGAUGUGAUGGAUGAGCUCGACUACUACCGACUCCAGCAACAGAUCACUGAAGGGAAAGUUUGUAGUGCUCCCAGUGGUGCUAAUCCUGAGGGAAGCUAUGUGUUCUUAUCCACUCUAUCUUCUGUUGUUAAAUUAGUAUGCAGCGCCCCAAGCCAUAUAACUGGUUGGAUCUUACGCGGCAGAAAAAGGAAACGUGAAGAGGAGGGGCCAGCUCACUGUAACAUGCUGCCUUUUGAGAUUAAAGAUAGCAUUUCUAAGAGGAUCAAUGUAAUAGUGAUUCUUCUAUGCAGUAACCGCAAUUCUGUGCAGGGGGCUCUUCAGCUUGAGAACUUGCGCCCCAUGGCAACAUCAAGUAAGAGUCUCAAUAUUUCCAGGGGUCAUCGCAUGACAACUUCUGUUCCGAUUGAAUCUGAGGUGUACGGAAGAGAUGCAGAGAGAGACAAAAUAAUAGAGCUGCUGAGGAAUGGAAAAUCUAGUGAUCUGAAUGUUUUGCCAUUAGUUGGCGCCAUUGGUGGUGUUGGGAAGACAACACUUGCCAGAUUUGUAUACCGUGAUCAAAGAAUUAUAGAUCAUUUUGAUCUGCGAAUGUGGGUUUGUGUGUCCACUGACUUCAAUGAAGAGAGGCUAACACGUGAGAUCCUAGAGCAUGUAUGUGAAGAUAGACAAGAGUAUGAAAAUAAAAGCAAUCCUGAUGUACUGCAGAACAUCCUUUUGAAGAAGGUCAGAAACAAAAGAUUUCUGCUUGUACUGGACGAUAUAUGGGAAGACAGAGACAGGAGUGGGUGGAUUAAUUUCCUGGCUCCGUUGAAAAGGAAUCAAGCAACCGGUUGCAUGAUUUUAGCAACAACAAGAAGGAAAUCAGUUGCAAAAAUGAUAGGAACAAUGGUUGAGGUCGAAGUGAAUGGUCUCGAUGAUAAUGUGUUCUGGCUUCUCUUCAGAGCAUGUGCAUUUGGUGAUGAGAACUACGAGGGCCGUCCUAGUUUGCAAUCUAUUGGGAAAGAGAUUGCUAAAGCACUAAAAGGCUGUCCACUGGCUGCACGAAGUGUUGGUGCACUUCUAAACGCAGAUGUUAGCUAUCAGCAUUGGAUGACAGUUCGGGACAAAUGGAAAUCUCUUGAAGAUGCUGAUGAUAUUUUACCCAUCUUGAAGCUCAGUUAUGAUUAUCUUCCAGUCCACCUUCAGCGCUGUUUCUCUUACUGCUCUUUGUUCCCAGAGGACUACCCAUUUGAUGGGGAAGAUUUGGUCCAUGCUUGGAUAUCACAAAAUUUUGUGCAGUACGAAGGCCGUACCAUAAGAUUGGAGAAAACAGGGCAGAGCUAUUUGGAAAGAUUAGUGGACUUGGGCUUCUUCCACAAGGAUGGCUCACACUAUGUUAUGCAUGACCUAAUGCAUGUAUUGGCCAGGAAAGUUUCAUCAAGUGAGUGUGCUACUAUAGAUGGAUUGAAACCUCAGGCCAUUCAACCAAGCGUUCGCCAUUUGUCAGUCAUAAUUACUGAUUUUGGUAAAGAUGAACAAGGCAGUUUUCCUAGUGAGAAGUUUGACCAAAUACUACAGGAAGUUAGGUCGUCUUUGCAAAAAUUGAGAACCUUGAUGGUGUUUGGGCGAAGGACCAUACAUUUGUUAGGUUCAUUACAUACUUUAUGCAAGGAGGCAAAAUGUUUACGGUUACUAAGAAUUCGUGUGCCAGGUGGCGACAUCAAUUAUAUAAACAGUUUAUUGAAUCCAUGCCAUCUUCGCUAUAUAAUGGCAUAUGGAGUCUACCAAAAACCUGCGUUUUGUCAAGUUCUGACAAGGUGCUAUCACCUUCAAGUAUUGAAUGUGGGCAUUUUUACAGGCGAUCGUGAUGUACCUACUGAUAUGAAUAAUCUUGUUAAUCUGCGCCAUCUUAUUGCUCAUGAGAAAGUGCACCACGCAAUAGUUCGUGUCAGCAAAAUGACCUCUCUUCAGGAAUUAAAAUUCAAGGUUCAAAAUGUUGGUAGUUUUGGGAUAGGACAACUUCAGUCCAUGAAUGAGCUUGUAUUACUUGGAAUUUCUCAACUUGAAAAUGUGAAGACUAAAAAAGAGGUGAGGGGGGCCAAGCUGAUAGACAAAGAGUAUCUAGAAACAUUGUCCUUGUCAUGGGAGGAUAGCAGCAUGAGCUUCCAACCUGAGGCUGCCAAGGAUGUGCUUGAAGGUCUUCAACCACAUCAGAACCUCAAAACUCUAGAAAUAACUGGAUAUGGUGGUGCUACAUCCCCAACCUGGUUCUCCAUUGUUUCCUCAGUUACCUCCUUGCAGGUACUUCAUCUAGAGGGGUGCAGGGAAUGGCAAAUUCUAUCAAUUCGUGAAAUGCAUUCCCUUAGGAAGCUGACAUUGAUCAGGAUGUUGAAUUUAAUGGAAAUCUCAGUUCCUUCCUUGGAAGAGUUGAUCUUGAUCGGCAUGCCAAAAUUGAAAAAAUGUACCGGUUCUUAUGGAAUAGAAUUGACUUACCAUUUAAGGGUUUUGAUGAUCAAGAACUGCCGUGAGCUGAAUGAGCUCACUCUUUUCCAGAGUUACUCUUCUUUCGACGCUGAGCAGAAAUCAUGGUUUCCAUCUCUCAGGAAACUCUCCAUUGGGCAGUGUCCCCAUAUAUUAAACAACUGGCCAAUCCUCCCACUAAGUGAAAUGAGGGCGCUCAGUGAGUUGGAGUUGAUGGACCUACAUGUUGUCGGAGUUUCAGUUCCUUCUCUGGAGAAGUUGGUGUUGACUAAAAUGCCAAACCUGGAAUUUUGCAGCAGUCUAACGACCCAAGGAGAUCAAAUGGGAUGGUCAUCCAAUCUGCGUAGACUUACCAUCCAUGAUUGCCCUUGUUUGAUAGUGUCACAUCCUUUUCCGCCUUCUGCUUCGAUUUCCGAGAUGUCCAUCAGGGGAGUUCCGGGACUUGCAAAAAUGAGUAUAGACCAUAGAUGGUUAACUAUCGAAUCUACUGAGUUGAGUGUGCUAGAUGACAGUAUCCUGGCAUUCAGUAACCUUGGGGGCAUAAGAUUGUUUCGAAUAAGAAGCUGUCCAAAUCUGAUCUCUCUUUCAAGUGAAUCUUUCAGCCAGCUCAUCGCUUUAGAAACUUUAUGUAUACACGACUGCCCUAAUCUUACUAUGUCAAACAUUAUGCCAGAGGUUGUCCAGGAAAACAGCACAUCUACAAGCAGCCUUGUCCCCCCAUCUCUCAAAUCUGUCAACAUUAGCACAUGUGGCGUAACUGGGAGGUGGCUAUCUCAACUGCUUUCACAUUCGCAGUCCCUUGAGGAGUUGCUGUUAACUGGCUGUCCGCAGAUAAAGUUUCUAUCAGUCAUUCAACCUAGAGAAACGGAAGGGACCAGCAGUUUGGCUUCAGCAGUGAUGACCUCGGCCCAAGAUGAACAUGAAUUGAAACUGCCAUAUAAUCUCCUAUGUUCUCUCAAGGUGCUAUGGAUUCAGCAAAGCCUGGAUCUGAAGUUCUUUGGGGGUAAUAGACACUCUACAAGAUUCACCUCUCUUACGCAGCUUUUCCUUCAUGGUUGCCCCAAGCUACUCUCAAUUUUGGUGGGUGAAACAAAAGAUGAUGGUACCAUGGAGGUUGGAUUACUCCCACCAUCACUUGAAGACCUUAGUAUCGGUCCUCUCCCAGAAAACUUGCAGUCAUUCACUCCUGAAGGCCUUUUGUACCUCAAAAAGUUACGUCUAUCUUAUGGCCCAUGUUUGAAGUCUGUACAGCUGCAUUCCUGUACGGCCUUAGAGGAGCUGGAUAUCAUGGGGUGUGUCCAGCUGACUGUACUGGAGGGCUUGCAGUUUCUCAGCUCCCUUCGAAGCUUGAAGAUGGAGAUGAAUUCCGAGCUGUCUUGUGCAUGGGAUCUCAAACUGCAGGAACAAGAGCAGGGUGGGAAUCAAAUUCAGCUAUUUCCUCGGUCACUUGAUAAACUUGAGAUCACGGCUGUCACGGACUGGGUCCAAUCCCGUCUUCUGUCCUGCCUUCCUGCCAUGACCAAAUUAGCAGUACAGAGAAGUCCGGAACUGACGUCUCUACAGUUGGCAUGCUGCACGGCACUGAAAGUGUUGGAAAUUGGAGACUGCGACUUGCUUGCGUCGAUCGAGGGCCUCCAGUUCUGUAGAAACCUGACAUCCUUGAAAGUAUUUAACUCCCCCGGCCUAUCUUCCUGUUUUCAACUUUUGUCCGACCAGCAAGGUGUCUGUGAAGUAUGGUCUGGAUUGAAAACUCUUGUGGCUAGUGACGCAUCUAUCCUGUCCAGGCCGUUCUGCAAACAGCUGACUUCCCUAAGACGUCUACAGUUUGGCUCUGCGUAUAGUGCAAGCUUGGUGAACCUAACAGACGAACAAGAGAGAGCAUUACAGCUUCUAACCUCACUCCAAGAACUUCAAUUCCUGAGAUGCCCGAAUCUCUUAUCACUUCCUGCAAGCCUAUAUAGCCUGACCUCCCUCGGAACAUUAUCUAUCGUACAUUGUAGGAGCAUCACAAGGUUGCCAGACAUGGGCUUUGCACCUUCGCUCAGUAACCUUGAGGUAGCCUAUUGCAGUGAGGAGCUAGGUAUGGAGUGCAGAAUUGCAGCAACUGAAAAGCUAAGAGUCACAAUUGAUUAUGUGGAUGUGAAUUAAUUCAACAGUAUCUACUUCUGAGGCUGCAGCCACCCGAGAUGUUGUACACAUUUCUGCACUCACUGUCACCAGCACAUUUUGUGCAAGUGCCAUUCACCCCUUUGGCUUUCCACAAGCUACUUUAGUCGCAUGUGGGAUGGAUGCAGAAACCAUGGUUGCAAUAGGCUAGUCUUUUUGUUUAUCAGGGGCAUUGUGACCAGUUGCUCAUCGCCAUGAGCUUACGCUAUAGCAAGCCUUACCAUGGUUUGCUGUUCAGCAAUAUUACAUCACGGCAUUGGAAUCUGCGGUCAACCAGGACUACCUGUUGAGUGAUGAGUACACAUUAACUUGACGAUUCCAUGGCUCAACCAUUGCAGGUGUGUAUUGGCAGUUGGGCCAUGCCCAUGAAAAACUGAAGAAGGUACAGCAAACCAGUCGGUGACGACCUCCUACGAGACUGGAGGCCGAAGUCAGCCGAGGGGGGCAGCAGCAGAAGCAACUCGUACGGAAUAUAGGACUUCUAUAUAUAAACCUGCCGGGAACUAAACAAGUCAUAACACCAGCACACCGUUUCGUUUCGCUUCCUCCAUCGUCUGCUCAUCUCAUGACCUCCUCUACCGCCUUCUCGCUUCCCAGAAGCGCAGUGGGAGACACUCAACCCGUGUUAUCGACCAAGGUCGGGUCGUUACUGAAUUUGAAGUUGCUGGAGAUGUUCUCGCCGAGCUCGGCGAAGAGGGUCUUCUCGCCGCUCAUGUAGUUUGAGGCACCCCUGUUGAGAUACCAGGCCUCGUAGAAACCAUUAGCUAAGAUGAUAGGAAAAGAAGCCACCCUGUUUGUAUUCUAUAAGGAGGCAACAAAUAUUUCCAAAGCUGAAGUGCUACCAUUUGUGGAACAGAGGGAGACCACACCCGGAUUAAAGAUGGAAAGUAGAAAUACAGUAGAAUGACGACACCACUCAGUAAGAGUUGAAUUUGUACUUUGCUAUGCGACCUUCUGUGCCGAGAUUCCAUUAUCUGCAUUGCAUCUGAUUGGGCACUAGAGGGUAUGGCUUGCAAGUGUAGGUGAUCUGCUCCAAUAACUGUGCCUUGUAGAGACAAAACUUCUAUAUAUGUUUUUUGGU